GCGCGCGUCACGCCUCAGACCUCUAAUCGGGAAAGACUACCCGCUGAGUUUAA
rnacentral:rRNA from 1 species